rnacentral:rRNA from 1 species
UACGAAGGGGGCGAGCGUUGUUCGGAAUUACUGGGCGUAAAGCGCGUGUAGGCGGCCAUCUAAGUCGGGCGUGAAAUCCCACGGCUCAACCGUGGAAGUGCACUCGAAACUGGAUGGCUAGAGUCCUGGAGAGGAAGGUGGAAUGCUUGGUGUAGAGGUGAAAUUCGUAGAUAUCAAGCGGAACACCGGUGGCGAAGGCGGCCUUCUGGACAGUGACUGACGCUGAGACGCGAAAGCGUGGGGAGCAAACAGG